AACGAACGCUGGCGGCAUGCCUAACACAUGCAAGUCGAACGAGACCUUCGGGUCUAGUGGCGCACGGGUGCGUAACGCGUGGGAAUCUGCCCCUUGGUUCGGAAUAACUUCGGGAAACUGAAGCUAAUACCGGAUAAUGACGUAAGUCCAAAGAUUUAUCGCCAAGGGAUGAGCCCGCGUAGGAUUAGCUAGUUGGUGGGGUAAAGGCUCACCAAGGCGACGAUCCUUAGCUGGUCUGAGAGGAUGAUCAGCCACACUGGGACUGAGACACGGCCCAGACUCCUACGGGAGGCAGCAGUGGGGAAUAUUGGACAAUGGGGCGAAAGCCUGUUCCAGCAAUGCCGCGUGAGUGAUGAAGGCCUUAGGGUUGUAAAGCUCUUUUACCCGGGAAGAUAAUGACUGUACCGGGAGAAUAAGCCCCGGCUAACUCCGUGCCAGCAGCCGCGGUAAU
rnacentral:rRNA from 1 species